UUUCGUUCUUCAGCUGUUCUGUUUUCCUGUACCUCAACUGGAGCCGACAUUAUCAGAGCACCACCUGCUACCACCAUUGCAGCUGAGGCCCUGUCAGCAGUUCCAGGAGGAAAGAGCUUCCUUCCAGAGCAGCCAGAAAACUCCCUCUGGGGCCAGAGCAAACCAAGUCCACAGUUAGGACUACAUAUGCAGAACAAAGGCCUUCGAUGAUUAACUAAGUAAUUCCAAGGGAGGAACAUUCCAGGAAUUGUGAAGCACUGUCAGUUUUACGGAUCUUUCCCACCUGUAUUUCACUGGAUCUUCAGAGCAGCCUGUAAGAUGACAGAGCUGGUACAAUAACGCCCAUUUGCACUCCUAUGAAGAUCAUGCUUUCCACAUCCCCUGAUGUUAGAAAUGGCCAGGCUAUGAGGUGCAACUAAGGAAAAGUAACAGGCAAAGGAAGUGAUCUGAAGCUUGAAGGCUCAGAGCCUUUGACAGGUAAUAUAUGUCCUGUCCAUCAUGCAAAGCACAAGGAGUACCUGGCCUGCCUCUACUCUGACUCCAGGCCUCUGAGAACUCUGUGCCUUCACUUAAGAGGAUAUGAACCAUGCAAUUUAACUUCUGAUUUUUUAAAAUUUCACAUUUUUAAUCAAAUAAUUAAAUAAUGAGAAC